ACUCCUACGGGAGGCAGCAGUGAGGAAUAUUGGACAAUGGGGCAGCAUCUGAUCCAGCCAUGCCGCGUGCAGGAAGACUGCCCUAUGGGUUGUAAACUGCUUUUGUACAGGAAGAAACAUUCCCUCGUGAGGGAGCUUGACGGUACUGUAAGAAUAAGGAUCGGCUAACUCCGUGCCAGCAGCCGCGGUAAUACGGAGGAUCCAAGCGUUAUCCGGAAUCAUUGGGUUUAAAGGGUCCGUAGGUGGACGAUUAAGUCAGGGGUGAAAGUCUGCAGCUCAACUGUAGAAUUGCCUUUGAUACUGGUUGUCUUGAAUUAUUGUGAAGUGGGUUAGAAUAUGUAGUGUAGCGGUGAAAUGCAUAGAUAUUACAUAGAAUACCAAUUGCGAAGGCAGAUCACUAACAAUAUAUUGACACUGAUGGACGAAAGCGUGGGGAGCGAACAGGAUUAGAUACCCUGGUAGGAUAGCGU
rnacentral:rRNA from 1 species